AUAGUAUUCCCUCCGUCCCAAAAUUCUUGUGUUAAAUUUGUCUAAAUAGGGACGUAUCAAGUCACAUUUUAGUAUUAGAUACAUCCAUGUCUAGACAAAUUUAAGACAAGAAAUUUGGAACGGAGGGAGUACGUA
rfam:Triticum aestivum genome assembly, contig: Triticum_aestivum_CS42_TGACv1_scaffold_145933_2BS